GACGAACGCUGGCGGCGUGCUUUACACAUGCAAGUCGAACGGUGAAGCGCCUUCGGGUGUGGAUCAGUGGCGAACGGGUGAGUAACACGUGAGCAACCUGCCCCCCUCUUUGGGAUAAGCCUUGGAAACGGGGUCUAAUACCGGAUAUGAGCGCCUGCUGCAUGGUGGGUGUUGGAAAGAUUUUUUCGGUGGGGGAUGGGCUCGCGGCCUAUCAGCUUGUUGGUGGGGUGAUGGCCUACCAAGGCGAUGACGGGUAGCCGGCCUGAGAGGGCGACCGGCCACACUGGGACUGAGAUACGGCCCAGACUCCUACGGGAGGCAGCAGUGGGGAAUAUUGCACAAUGGGCGCAAGCCUGAUGCAGCGACGCCGCGUGGAGGAUGACGGCCUUCGGGUUGUAAACUCCUUUCAGUAAGGAAGAAGCGAAAGUGACGGUACUUGCAGAAGAAGCGCCGGCUAACUACGUGCCAGCAGCCGCGGUAAUACGUAGGGCGCAAGCGUUGUCCGGAAUUAUUGGGCGUAAAGAGCUCGUAGGCGGUUAGUCGCGUCUGGUGUGAAAUUCCGAGGCUCAACUUCGGGCUUGCAUCGGGUACGGGCUAGCUAGAGUGCUGUAGGGGAGACUGGAAUUCCUGGUGUAGCGGUGGAAUGCGCAGAUAUCAGGAGGAACACCGAUGGCGAAGGCAGGUCUCUGGGCAGUUACUGACGCUGAGGAGCGAAAGCAUGGGGAGCGAACAGGAUUAGAUACCCUGGUAGUCCAUGCCGUAAACGUUGGGCACUAGAUGUGGGGGCCAUUCCACGGUUUCUGCGUCGCAGCUAACGCAUUAAGUGCCCCGCCUGGGGAGUACGGCCGCAAGGCUAAAAACUCAAAGGAAUUGACGGGGGCCCGCACAAGCGGCGGAGCAUGCGGAUUAAUUCGAUGCAACGCGAAGAACCUUACCAAGGCUUGACAUACACCGGGUAAAAGUGCAGA
rnacentral:rRNA from 1 species